AUAAGAUAAAUAUAGCCAAUUCUUGAUUCAUGAUAUUUUAUGUUUGACAAAUGGUCAUGUCUACCUAGAAAGUGGAUAAAUUUUCUCAGUAGAGUAGGGGUAUAAAGCAGGAAACUAAACCAUUCCAUGAUAAAGGCAUUUAAAUCCUUUAAUGAAAAACUCGAGUUGUCAUAAUGAUUUUAGUAGCAAAACUAGCAACAUCUUAUAUGAUAAGAACAUGUGCCUUUUGUAAUCAGAAGCAAGCUAUGUUGCAUCACUUCUAGCUUAACUUUUUGUAAUGCAUGAUGUUGCACAUUGUGACAUAUUCAUUCGAGAAAGCUGAGCUUUAGCUUCAAGGGAAGCUAGUACAAACUUGUGAAGUAACUACAUGAUAUAUGGCAGUUAUGAUGUUGGUGAUGCAGUGUUGUUAAAUGGCGGCCAUGGCGGCGCCAUGGCGGAUUUUCGUGGCAGAUUUUCAAAAAAACGCCACCGAAUAGCGGUGGCAUGGUGGCGGAAAUGGCGGAUUUUUUUUGCUUUUUGUCCGCGGUAGGAGUUGGGCUGACCCGACCCAACCCUACCCGGUAUUAGAAAGAUGUUUACUUCUAAGGAGCCUAAGGGAAAAGAAACUGCAAAGGUAGUGCUCAUGCCUUCUUUUUGGAAUAGUGUGGUUUACACUCUUAAAGUCAUGGCUCCACUUGUGAAAGUGCUUCGUCUUGUGGAUGGUGAAAGGAAACCAGCCAUGGGCUAUAUUUAUGAAGCAAUGGACAAGGCAAAAGAAACAAUUAUCAAGUCUUUCAACAACAAUGAAAGCAAGUACAAAGAUGUGUUUGCAAUCAUUGAUAAAAGAUGGAAUUGUUAGCUUCAUAGGCCAUUGCAUGCAGCUGCCCACUUCUUAAAUUCAGAGUUCUUUUAUGACAACACUGACUUGGAGUUUGAUUUUGAGGUCACCAAUGGUUUGUUUGAGUGCAUUAAGAAGUUGAUUCCACAAUUUGAUGUGCAACAAAAAAUUCUAACCGAGUUACAUCUUUACAAGAUUGGUGCUGACCACUUUGGUUCCGACUUUGCAAUGGCUCAAAGGAAAACCCAUUCUCCUACAUAUUGGUGACGAAUGUUUGGGUCACAAACUCCAAAUUUGCAGAAGCUAGCUAUUAAAAUUUUGAGUUUGACUUGCAGUGCUUCAGGAUGUGAAAGAAAUUGGAGUGUGUUUGAGCAAAUUCAUUCCAAAAAAAGAAAUAGACUUGAGCACAAGAGGUUGCAUGAUUUGGUGUUUGUCAAAUACAACCAACAAUAGAAGCAAAGAUAUAAUGCAAGAGAUGAAAUUGAUCCAAUUUCUCUUAAUGAUAUUGAUGUAUGCAAUGAAUGGCUCGUGGGAGAGAUGGAUCAAGAUGAUGAUAAUGAUGCUGGAAAUGAUUUGGUAUUUGAAGAUGAUGAUGCUCUAAAUUGGGCAACUGUGUAUCAGGCUUCGGGGGUUGGAGAGUGUAGGAUGUAUACUAGGCGGAAAAAGCAAAAAACAAGUGUUGCUGCUGCCCAAACUUCUAAAAAAACAGGCAAUGGUUGUUGGAUCUUCAUCAAGGAAGCAAAAAGCAAUCCAAGAAAAUGAUGAGGAUCUAGAUGUUGAGGAGAAUAUUGAUGUUGAAUCUGAAGAAGAAGAAAUCAUGGUCAAUUUUGAGGCGUCUGAUGGGGAAGAGGGAGAGGGAGAUGCUCCAUUACCAUAUGAUAACAAUGAAGAUGAUUAUGUUGGGAUUGGAGAAGAUGAUUAGAGCCUCAACCUUCACUUUGCACUUUGCAUUAUGUUUUUAUCAUUUUCUUAUUUUGAACUCUUUAAUGAGUUUA